CCCGCUGAUACUUUGAAUGCUUGUCCUCUCCAAAAAAAUAAAAUAAAAAAUAUAUAUAUUCAGUAGAGCGAGGGCUAGCAACUAGAUUAGGAAUGGCUAUGCCACGAUUCCCUUAACCUGUAUCGAACGAAAACUCAGAGACAAAUCCACACACCCACACAAAAAAAACCACAUACAGUGCUGGUGGAUUAAAGCCCUAACUGGUGAAAAUGUUUUUCCCUCUUUCCAUCAAGCCUCUUUUAGUUAACCAUCAGAGCAAACCCUAACCCCUAAAGAAGAAAUCCUAAAUCUGGAAUCCUCCAUUAGAGACGCGAAGGUGUGUUCGGCGAUUUGCAGACGACCACCGCUGGUAGAGUUGGGCUAUAGGAGUUCAAUUUUUGAAGAGGAUGCAUACGAACAGGAUGCUGAACCAAAAGACCGAAAAAUUGGGAAGCUUUGUGAUUAUGCUUUGAAAAAUCCAUUGCGAAUACCAAAGAUUACUGAUUACCUAGAGCACAGAUUUUAUAAGGAUUUGAGGAAUGAGCAUUUUGGCUCCGUAAAAGUUGUGCUUUGCAUUUAUAGGAAAUUGCUAUCAUCAUGUAACGAGCAGAUAAUGUGCUUCAUCUUCAUUUUGGUGAGCUUUAAAUCUUGUUUGCAAAGUUUGUUUCCGAGGGUUAGUAGUGAUGCUGGUAAUGCUACUGACCACAUGCCUAACUUCCUUAGUGAUCAUCCUUUGUUGGCACAGUGAAUGAAGAUGGUUGGGCAAGCUUGGCGGUGCUACUUCUUUUUGCAAUCUUUUGUUAGCACUUGGUUUUCUUUUUUUUAACAAUGAUGGAGACUUUGUACUCUAAAUUAUUCAAUGAAUGUUUUGGAUUAAUUUUUGGUGAUUGUUCUUUUUUUAACAAUGAUGGAAACUUUGUACUUCAAAUUAUUUAAUGAAUGUUUGGGAUUAAUUUUA